rnacentral:rRNA from 1 species
CGUUAAAGCUGGACCAAGGCCGCUUACCAUGCAGUCGAGCGCCCCGCAGGGGAGCGGCAGACGGGUGAGUAACGCGUGGGAAUCUACCCUUGACUACGGAAUAACGCAGGGAAACUUGUGCUAAUACCGUAUGUGUCCUUCGGGAGAAAGAUUUAUCGGUCAAGGAUGAGCCCGCGUUGGAUUAGCUAGUUGGUGGGGUAAAGGCCUACCAAGGCGACGAUCCAUAGCUGGUCUGAGAGGAUGAUCAGCCACAUUGGGACUGAGACACGGCCCAAACUCCUACGGGAGGCAGCAGUGGGGAAUAUUGGACAAUGGGCGCAAGCCUGAUCCAGCCAUGCCGCGUGAGUGAUGAAGGCCCUAGGGUUGUAAAGCUCUUUCACCGGAGAAGAUAAUGACGGUAUCCGGAGAAGAAGCCCCGGCUAACUUCGUGCCAGCAGCCGCGGUAAUACGAAGGGGGCUAGCGUUGUUCGGAAUUACUGGGCGUAAAGCGCACGUAGGCGGAUCGAUCAGUCAGGGGUGAAAUCCCAGGGCUCAACCCUGGAACUGCCUUUGAUACUGUCGAUCUGGAGUAUGGAAGAGGUGAGUGGAAUUCCGAGUGUAGAGGUGAAAUUCGUAGAUAUUCGGAGGAACACCAGUGGCGAAGGCGGCUCACUGGUCCAUUACUGACGCUGAGGUGCGAA